rnacentral:rRNA from 1 species
UACGGAAGGCAGCAGUGGGGAAUAUUGCACAAUGGGCGAAAGCCUGAUGCAGCUAUGCCGCGUGUAUGAAGAAGGCCUUAGGGUUGUAAAGUACUUUCAUCGGGGAGGAAAAACAAAACUAAUAAUUUUAUUUCUUGACGUUACCCGAAAAAGAAGCACCGGCUAACUCCGUGCCAGCAGCCGCGGUAAUACGGAGGGUGCUAGCGUUAAUCAGAAUUACUGGGCGUAAAGAGCACGUAGGUGGUUUUUUUAAGUCAGAUGUGAAAUCCCUGGGCUUAACCUGGAACUGCAUUUUGAAACUGAAAUACUAGAGUAUCGUAGAGGGAGGUAGAAUUCUAGGUGUAGCGGUGAAAUGCGUAGAUAUCUGGAGGAAUACCUGUGGCGAAAGCGGCCUCCUAAACGAAUACUGACACUGAGGUGCGAAAGCGUGGGGGAGCGAAACAGGGAUUAGGAUACC